GGCAUCAUCACCGGUCCGAGAUCACCUGCGACACUGCACUGACUUGACAUGACUUUUGCAAACGACGACGACUACAGAAGUGCUACUAAGCUGAAGUAUAGUGCAGCAGUGCCAUACUGUGCACAUUUAAUAUAUUUCUUCAUCCAAAUGAUUACGCCACAAAACAGUACCUGGUCCAAGCUGCAGAAGUUCUCAGCGCCCCUUUGAGAUGAUGGAUCAAGCCUUGAUUUUGCUGCCACAGUGAACAGAGGAUGGAGACGGUGAUUUGAGGAGAGCGACUCGGUGCAGCUGCGUCUGCUGAAAGGAGAGGGGAGGGCCGGAGCAAUGGAGUGGAAAGAAUUGAAAAGGCUCGGCGGGGGGACGGCACAUACCUUUAAGCCCCCCCCCCCCCCCCCCCCUGUCCUCCACUCACUCAAGGCUCUUUCAGCACCAGUGACCACUCUAAGGUGAGCUCUCUUAUGAACGACGGGUCAUGUUCAAUGGUGUUGAAUGUUGCGGGCCAUAGAAAUGCCACCCGUGCACAGCCCAUUAGACAGAGUGGCGAGAUUGCACGAUAAACAAUUCUCAAGUCGCUGAAAGAGUUCUCAGCAUUCAUCAGGCUCGAGGAGGCGCGCAGCAGUGGCGGCAGAAAGGUGUCGGCGCCGCUCCCCUAUAAUCUUCCCCAACAUUCUUUACAUCCCUUCUCCCCCCACUGACAACUAAAGUGGAGAUACGACAAGACAGAAAAUAGCCUCGCAAAAGCGUCCUGCGGCG